rnacentral:lncRNA from 1 species
UUUAACUUACAAUCUUUUAUUCUUUAAGGCAACAAUAGACCUAUUUACAAAUAAAAAGGCAAUAUUGGUAUUGACACUGUAUUGAAAAGUAUUUAAGUUUAUAUUUUAGAAUAAAAUAUAAAGUUGUGCAAUUUUGAAUUGCCCACCCUGAGUACCAAUUGUUUUUGAAAUAUCCUUAAGUAAAAUUCUUUGUUGAUAUGGUUAGGCAGCCUAUAUUAGCUGUUUUUCAUUUACCUUGUUAACCAACAGCCUAGCUAGAUUUUUUCCAGAAAGGGCAUACAUAACUUAACUAGUUAGGAUAUAUGGGCUAGUUGUAUAGUUGCAUGUAAAAAAUUGGUUUAGUAUAAUAAUUAACAAAUCUAUAAUAAUGACAAAAACCUUACAAUCCUUUCAACAUGUUCAAAUAAACAAACAAAAUUCUUAAAUAAAUCAUUAAUCUUUCAGACAUAAAACUAAAAUUAUCA